GGUUGCGUAGUGUAGUGGUUAUCACUUUCGGUUCUGAUCCGAACAACCCCAGUUCGAAUCCGGGCGUGACCU
rfam:Candida tanzawaensis NRRL Y-17324 unplaced genomic scaffold CANTAscaffold_1, whole genome shotgun sequence.